rnacentral:rRNA from 1 species
UACGUAGGUGGCAAGCGUUGUCCGGAAUUAUUGGGCGUAAAGCGCGCGCAGGUGGUUCCUUAAGUCUGAUGUGAAAGCCCCCCGGCUCAACCGGGGAGGGUCAUUGGAAACUGGGGAACUUGAGUGCAGAAGAGGAUAGUGGAAUUCCAAGUGUAGCGGUGAAAUGCGUAGAGAUUUGGAGGAACACCAGUGGCGAAGGCGACUGUUUGGUCUGUAACUGACACUGAGGCGCGAAAGCAUGGGUAGCAAACAGG